AACGAACGCUGGCGGCAUGCCUAACACAUGCAAGUCGAACGAGACCUUCGGGUCUAGUGGCGCACGGGUGCGUAACGCGUGGGAAUCUGCCCUCUGGUUCGGAAUAACUCAGGGAAACUUGAGCUAAUACCGGAUAAUGACUUCGGCCCAAAGAUUUAUCGCCUGAGGAUGAGCCCGCGUCGGAUUAGCUAGUUGGUGAGGUAAAAGCUCACCAAGGCGACGAUCCGUAGCUGGUCUGAGAGGAUGAUCAGCCACACUGGGACUGAGACACGGCCCAGACUCCUACGGGAGGCAGCAGUGGGGAAUAUUGGACAAUGGGCGAAAGCCUGAUCCAGCAAUGCCGCGUGAGUGAUGAAGGCCUUAGGGUUGUAAAGCUCUUUUACCCGGGAUGAUAAUGACAGUACCGGGAGAAUAAGCCCCGGCUAACUCCGUGCCAGCAGCCGCCGUAACAC
rnacentral:rRNA from 1 species